UACGGGGGGAGCAAGCGUUGUUCGGAUUUACUGGGCGUAAAGGGCGCGUAGGCGGUCAGCACAAGUCAGUUGUGAAAUCUCCGGGCUUAACUCGGAAAGGUCAACUGAUACUGUGCGACUAGAGUGCGGAAGGGGCAACUGGAAUUCCCGGUGUAGCGGUGAAAUGCGCAGAUAUCGGGAGGAACACCAGUGGCGAAGGCGGCACUCUGGGCCGGAACUGACGCUGAGGAGCGAAAGCGUGGGGAGCGAACAGG
rnacentral:rRNA from 1 species